rnacentral:lncRNA from 1 species
GUUGAUUACAUGCAUGUAUCCCGUGGUGAAUAAGUUUUUCUAAAGGAUGGCAAGGUAUAAUGGUAAUAAAUUUCUGAGACGGUAGCCAAAAAAAUAAAUUCUCCAAUUCCUCUCCGCCACAGGAGUUAGUAUAUUAAUUUGUGGUACCAAAAUAUUAAUGGAUUCAAAUCUUUGCUUAUUUUUGAAUUAGAAAAUUUAAAAAUAAAUUCUUCCCUUUACAUUGCAGGGUGUACUACAGGAGAAGAUUUUAAUUCCAAAUUUACACAUCAGAAAUCAAAUGUAAAAUAUGGCGCAAAAACAUAAUGUUAAUUAUAUUUGUAAUUUGUAAUAGAAGCACCUAAUAGCUGCAUGGCUAAACUGGAACCAGCAGAGGCAUGCUAUAACGCACACAAACUUGGGCAAUUUUAAAUUUUGAGUUUAGAUGCUUAUUAGAACCCAAUGAAAAGAAAAGGCAAUGGACAUUUAGAAAAAAAUAUGUUUAGGAAAUG